AUUAAGAUGUCUGAGUAAAGUAAUAAACUGUAAAUUUAUGAAUGGAGUAUAAUCCUCUUAAUA
rnacentral:tRNA from 1 species